UCCAUUUGACAUCUAAAUGUCAUAGCGACUUUUGGGAUAGUUUGCUAUCGGCAAAAGGGGACAAAGUCAGGGGGUGAAGGGGAAGCAGGGCCCAGUAGAGCCUCCAAGACCCUCGGCAGCCUCCUCUCCAAGCCCCCCUCCUCCCAGGCCCUGGGAGAAGUUGGGCCCAGCUGGCAGGGAUUGACUUGGGUUGCCUGUUGGGAGACGGAGCCACUGCAGGCAGGGCCCAGGCGCCUGGAGUCCGGCAUGAAAGGAACUAGCGCCUCAUUGCUCUUAUCUAAGCCCAGAGCCGCCUCACCGGCCUCUUCGGAGAUUCCAGGCCCUACAGAGCCCAGGAGGUCCCCGAGCACCCCAGCCCUCAUGCCAAGGCUGCCAGAAAGCCACCGAUACCCACACUGGGCAAGAGAACCGCGC